rnacentral:rRNA from 1 species
GACGAACGCUGGCGGCGUGCUUAACACAUGCAAGUCGAACGGAGAUUCAGCAAUGGAUCUUAGUGGCGAACGGGUGAGUAACGCGUAGGCAAUCUGCCUUCUAGAUGGGGACAACAUCCCGAAAGGGGUGCUAAUACCGAAUGUUGUACCGUUUCCGCAUGGAGAUGAUACUAAAGGUGGCCUCUGAAUAUGCUACCGCUAGAAGAUGAGCCUGCGUCUGAUUAGCUAGUUGGAGGGGUAACGGCCCACCAAGGCUUCGAUCAGUAGCCGGUCUGAGAGGAUGAACGGCCACACUGGGACUGGGACACGGCCCAGCCUCCUACGGGAGGCAGCAGUGGGGAAUCUUCCGCAAUGGACGAAAGUCUGACGGAGCAACGCCGUGUGAGUGAAGAAGGUUCUCGGAUCGUAAAGCUCUUUCGUUAGGGACGAACGUGCUCUUUGUGAAUAAUGAGGAGUAAUGACGGUACCUAAAUAAGAAGCCACGGCUAACUACGUGCCAGCCGCCGCCGUAA